rnacentral:rRNA from 1 species
ACUCCUACGGGAGGCAGCAGUGGGAAUUAUUGCACAAUGGGGAAACCCUGAUGCAGCCAUGCCGCGUGUGUGAAGAAGGCCUUCGGGUUGUAAAAGCACUUUCAGUAGGGAGGAAGGUAGUGUAGUUAACAACCUGCAUUAUUUGACGUUACCUACAGAAGAAGCACCGGCUAACUCCGUGCCAGCAGCCGCGGUAAUACGGAGGGUGCGAGCGUUAAUCGGAAUUACUGGGCGUAAAGCGCAUGCAGGUGGUUUGUUAAGUCAGAUGUGAAAGCCCGGGGCUUAACCUCGGAAUAGCAUUUGAAACUGGCAGACUAGAGUACUGUAGAGGGGGUAGAAGUUUUCAGGUGUAGCGGUGAAAUGCGUAGAGAUCU